GACGAACGCUGGCGGCGUGCCUAAUACAUGCAAGUCGAGCGAAGUUUUUCUGGUGCUUGCACCGGAAAAACUUAGCGGCGAACGGGUGAGUAACACGUAAAGAACCUGCCUCAUAGACUGGGACAACUAUUGGAAACGAUAGCUAAUACCGGAUAAUAGCAUUAACUGCAUGGUUGAUGUUUAAAAGUUGGUUUUGCUAACACUAUGAGAUGGCUUUGCGGUGCAUUAGCUAGUUGGUGGGGUAAAGGCCUACCAAGGCGACGAUGCAUAGCCGACCUGAGAGGGUGAUCGGCCACACUGGGACUGAGACACGGCCCAGACUCCUACGGGAGGCAGCAGUAGGGAAUCUUCCGCAAUGGGCGAAAGCCUGACGGAGCAGCGCCGCGUGAGUGAAGAAGGAUUUCGGUUCGUAAAGCUCUGUUGUUAGGGAAGAAUGAUUGUGUAGUAACUAUACACAGUAGAGACGGUACCUAACCAGAAAGCCACGGCUAACUACGUG
rnacentral:rRNA from 1 species